rnacentral:rRNA from 1 species
AUAUUUUUAUAAUUUAAUUUAUUAAAAAUAAUUAUAUAGUGAUUUGUUUUAGUAUUUAUUAAAGAAAAAAUAAUUUUAAUUAUAGUAUAAUAGUAUUGUGAAAGAAAAUUGAAAUAUUUUGAAAAAUUAUUAUUUUAAAAGAAAAUUUAAUUUAUUGUACCUUGUGUAUCAGGGUUUAUUAAAUAAAAAUUAUUUAAUUAAUUUUCUCGAUUUUAAAAGAGUUAAUAUAUUAUAAAAGUUAAUGUUACAAAAUUAUUAAAAAUAAUAUAUUAGAAAUGAAAUGUUAUUCGUUUUUAAAGGUAUCUAGUUCUUUAAGAAAUAAAUUUAAUUUAAAAAUUUUAUAUUAUUUAAUUAGUUAAAUUAAUUAAAUGAUUAUUUAAUUUAAAUAUUUUAUGGGAUAAGCUAUAAAAUAAAUAAUUAAAAAUAAAUAAAUAAUUUAAUAAAUAUAAGUUUAGAAAUAGCUAUUAUUAGUAAAAAUGUUAUAAUUUAUUUUAUAUAAAUUAUUAUUUAUUUUAUUUUAAUUUUUUAUUAAAGUAUUUAUUUUAAUUUUAUAAAUGAAAAAAUAAUGAUGAAAUUAGUAUAUUAUUAUUGUAUAAAUAAAUAAAUGUGGAAAGUUUUUAUAAAGAAUUCGGCAAAAAUAAUGUUCGCCUGUUUAACAAAAACAUGUCUUUUUGAAUUUUUUUUAAAGUUUAACCUGCCCACUGAAAUUUUUAAAUGGCCGCAGUAUACUAACUGUGCAAAGGUAGCAUAAUCAUUAGUCUUUUAAUUGUAGGCUGGUAUGAAUGGUUGGACGAGAUAUUAACUGUUUCAUAAAAAUUUUUAUUAGAAUUUUAUUUUUUAGUUAAAAAGCUAAAAUUUAUUUAAAAGACGAGAAGACCCUAUAAAUCUUUAUAUUUACAUUAUUAUAAUUUUAUGGAUUAUUUUUGUUAUGAUAAUAAUAAUAUUUUAUUGGGGUGAUAUUAAAAUUUAAUAAACUUUUAAUUUUUAAAAUCAUUAAUUUAUGAAUAAUUGAUCCGUUAUUAACGAUUAAAAAAAUAAGUUACUUUAGGGAUAACAGCGUAAUUUUUUUGGAGAGUUCUUAUCGAUAAAAAAGAUUGCGACCUCGAUGUUGGAUUAAGAUAUAAUUUUAGGUGUAGUCGCUUAAAUUUUAAGUCUGUUCGACUUUUAAAUUCUUACAUGAUCUGAGUUCAAACCGGUGUAAGCCAGGUUGGUUUCUAUCUUUAAAUCAUUAAAAUAUUUCAGUACGAAAGGACCUAAUAUUUGAUAAAUUAUUAUUUUUAGUAUUGAAUUUAAUUAAUAUAAUA